rnacentral:rRNA from 1 species
UACAGAGGGGGCAAGCGUUGUUCGGAAUUACUGGGCGUAAAGGGCGCGUAGGCGGCCUGCUAAGUCGAACGUGAAAUCCCCGGGCUCAACCCGGGAACUGCGUCCGAUACUGGCAGGCUUGAAUUCGGGAGAGGGAUGCGGAAUUCCAGGUGUAGCGGUGAAAUGCGCAGAUAUCAGGAAGAACACCCGUGGCGAAGGCGGCUCUCUGGGACGGUACUGACGCUGAGACGCGAAAGCGUGGGGAGCGAACAGG